rnacentral:rRNA from 1 species
UACGUAGGGGGCAAGCGUUGUCCGGAUUUAUUGGGCGUAAAGAGCGUGUAGGCGGUUUGGUAGGUCCGCUGUGAAAACUCGAGGCUUAACCUCGAGACGUCGAUGGAAACCGUAUGGCUAGAGUCCGGAAGAGGAGAGUGGAAUUCCUGGUGUAGCGGUGAAAUGCGCAGAUAUCAGGAAGAACACCCGUGGCGAAGGCGGCUCUCUGGAACGGUACUGACGCUGAGACGCGAAAGCGUGGGGAGCGAACAGG